GACGAACGCUGGCGGCGUGCUUAACACAUGCAAGUCGAACGGAAAGGCCCUGCUUUUGUGGGGUGCUCGAGUGGCGAAUGGGUGAGUAACACGUGAGUAACCUGCCCUUGACUUUGGGAUAACUUCAGGAAACGGGGGCUAAUACCGGAUAGGAGCUCCUGCUGCAUGGUGGGGGUUGGAAAGUUUCGGCGGUUGGGGAGGGACUCGCGGCUUAUCAGCUUGUGGGUGGGGUAGUGGCUUACCAAGGCUUUGACGGGUAGCCGGCCUGAGAGGGUGACCGGCCCCAUUGGGACUGAGAUACGGCCCAGACUCCUACGGGAGGCAGCAGUGGGGAAUAUUGCACAAUGGGCGGAAGCCUGAUGCAGCAACGCCGCGUGCGGGAUGACGGCCUUCGGGUUGUAAACCGCUUUCGCCUGUGACGAGGCGUGAGUGACGGUAAUGGGUAAAGAAGCACCGGCUAACUACGUG
rnacentral:rRNA from 1 species